GAUGAACGCUGGCGGCGUGCUUAAUACAUGCAAGUCGAACGGACGACCUCGGGCUUGCCUGGGGUCGUUAGUGGCGAACGGCUGAGUAACGCGUGGGUGACCUGCCCGGAAGUGGGGAAUAACUGCCCGAAAGGGUGGCUAAUACCGCAUGUGGCCAUACGUUCGUUCGUAUGACCAAAGCCGCAAGGCGCUUCCGGAGGGGCCUGCGUUCGAUUAGCUCGUUGGUGGGGUAACGGCUCACCAAGGCGACGAUCGAUAGGUGGUCUGAGAGGAUGAUCACCCAGACUGGGACUGAGACACGGCCCAGACUCCUACGGGUGGCA
rnacentral:rRNA from 1 species